CAGCACUAUUUGCAACUCUAGGCGAUCCUCUGUCACAAGACAAAACCACGGAACCCACCACCAGACUCAAUUUUCUAGGUAUCAUGCUGGAUUCCAAUACCAUGCAGUCAAGUCUUCCCGAGGAUAAACUCAUACACAUUCGUGAAGACGUGAGCAGGUUCCCACAACUAGGAACUUGCACACGGAAAGACCUACAAUCUUUGUUAGGUUCAUUAAACUUCGCCAUGCACAUUAUCCCCCAGGGGAGAUCAUUUAUUACUAGGCUGCUACGCUUAUUACCAGGUCUGCUCGACGGUGAUAUUGGUCAUUUAGAUCCUGCGGCAAAAGCAGAUCUGGCCAUGUGGCAAGAGUUCCUCGAACACUGGAAUGGGAUUUCAAUGUUCAUUCCCCCAGUAUCCGAC